GAUGAACGCUGGCGGCGUGCUUAACACAUGCAAGUCGAACGGAGAAAGGGUAGCUUGCUAUCUUUUCUUAGUGGCGGACGGGUGAGUAACGCGUGGGUAACCUGCCCUUUGCAGGGGGAUAACAGUGAGAAAUCACUGCUAAUACCGCAUACCAACUUCUUUCGCAUGAAGGAAGUUUGAAAGAUUUAUCGGCAAAGGAUGGACCCGCGUUGGAUUAGCUAGUUGGUGAGAUAACAGCCCACCAAGGCAACGAUCCAUAGCCGGCCUGAGAGGGUGAACGGCCACACUGGGACUGAGACACGGCCCAGACUCCUACGGGAGGCAGCAGUGGGGAAUAUUGCACAAUGGGCGAAAGCCUGAUGCAGCGACGCCGCGUGAAGGAUGAAGGUCUUCGGAUUGUAAACUUCUAUCAGCAGGGAAGAAAGGGCUUAUAGCCUAUGACGGUACCUGACUAAGAAGCCCCGGCUAACUACGUG
rnacentral:rRNA from 1 species